rnacentral:rRNA from 1 species
CAGGCCUAACACAUGCAAGUCGAACGGUGGUAGCAAUACUACAGUGGCAAACGGGUGCGUAACGCGUAAGCAACCUGCCCCGAACUGGGGGAUAGCCUGGCGAAAGCCGGGGUAAGCCCGCAUAGUCUUGUUUUUUCACCUGGGAAGACAAGUAAAGAUUUAUCGGUUCGGGAGGGGCUUGCGUCUGAUUAGCUAGUUGGCAGGGUAACGGCCUACCAAGGCUUUGAUCAGUCGGGGUUCUGAGAGGAUUGGCCCCCACAUGGGUACUGAGAGACGGACCCAACUCCUACGGGAGGCAGCAGUAGGGAAUAUUGGGCAAUGGGCGAGAGCCUGACCCAGCCAUGCCGCGUGGAGGAUGACGGCGCUCAGCGUUGUAAACUCCUUUUAUCAAGGAAGAAUGGAUGGCCUGCGGGUCAUUGUGACGGUAUUUGAGGAAUCAGCACCUGUAUUAACUCAGUGCCAGCAGCCGCGGUAAU